AUCUUGCGCAAUGGGCGAAAGCCUGACGCAGCCAUGCCGCGUGAAUGAUGAAGGUCUUAGGAUUGUAAAAUUCUUUCACCGGGGAAGAUAAUGACGGUACCCGGAGAAGAAGCACCGGCUAACUUCGUGCCAGCAGCCGCGGUAAUACGAAGGGGGCUAGCGUUGCUCGGAAUUACUGGGCGUAAAGGGCGCGUAGGCGGACAGUUUAGUCAGGGGUGAAAGCCCAGGGCUCAACCCUGGAAUUGCCUUUGAUACUGGCUGUCUUGAGUGCGGGAGAGGUGUGUGGAACUCCGAGUGUAGAGGUGAAAUUCGUAGAUAUUCGGAAGAACACCAGUGGCGAAGGCGACACACUGGCCCGUUACUGACGCUGAGGCGCGAAAGCGUGGGGAGCAAACAGG
rnacentral:rRNA from 1 species